rnacentral:rRNA from 1 species
UACGUAGGGUGCAAGCGUUAAUCGGAAUCACUGGGCGUAAAGCGCACGUAGGCGGACUCUUAAGUCGGUGGUGAAAUCCUGGAGCUCAACUCCAGAACUGCCUUCGAUACUGAGAGUCUCGAGUCCGGGAGAGGUGAGUGGAACUGCGAGUGUAGAGGUGAAAUUCGUAGAUAUUCGCAAGAACACCAGUGGCGAAGGCGGCUCACUGGCCCGGUACUGACGCUGAGGUGCGAAAGCGUGGGGAGCAAACAGG